AGAACGAACGCUGGCGGCAUGCCUAACACAUGCAAGUCGAACGCUUCCGGGGCUUCGGUCGCGGAGGAGUGGCGCACGGGUGAGUAGCGCGUGGGAACCUGCCCUGUUGUGGGGGAUAACCGAGGGAAACUUCGGCUAAUACCGCAUACGCCCCGGGACUUGGUCUUCGGAUUAGGUCUGGGGGGAAAGAUUGAUCGCAGCAGGAGGGGCCCGCGUCGGAUUAGCUGGUUGGUGGGGUAACGGCUCACCAAGGCGAUGAUCCGUAGCUGGUCUGAGAGGAUGAUCAGCCACACUGGGACUGAGACACGGCCCAGACUCCUACGGGAGGCAGCAGUGGGGGAAUAUUGGACAAUGGGGGCAACCCUGAUCUAGCAAUGCCGCGUGAGUGAUGAAGGCCUUAGGGUUGUAAAGCUCUUUCGCCCGCGACGAUGAUGACGGUAGCGGGAGAAGAAGCCCGGCUAACUUCGUGCCAGCAGCCGCGGU
rnacentral:rRNA from 1 species